GGGUUGUGAGGUUAAGCGACUAAGCGUACACGGUGGAUGCCCUGGCAGUCAGAGGCGAUGAAGGACGUGCUAAUCUGCGAAAAGCGCCGGCGAGGUGAUAUGAACCCUUGACCCGGCGAUGUCCGAAUGGGGAAACCCAGUGCAAUCCGUUGCACUAUCGUUAACUGAAUACAUAGGUUAACGAGGCGAACCGGGGGAACUGAAACAUCUAAGUACCCCGAGGAAAAGAAAUCAACCGAGAUUCCCCCAGUAGCGGCGAGCGAACGGGGAGCAGCCCGGAGUCUGAAUCAGCUUGUGUGUUAGUGGAACGGUCUGGAAAGUCCGACGGUACAGGGUGAUAGUCCCGUACACGAAAGCACACUUGCUGUGAACUCGAAGAGUAGGGCGGGACACGUGGUAUCCUGUCUGAAUAUGGGGGGACCAUCCUCCAAGGCUAAAUACUCCUGACUGACCGAUAGUGAACCAGUACCGUGAGGGAAAGGCGAAAAGAACCCCGGCGAGGGGAGUGAAAAAGAACCUGAAACCGUGUACGUACAAGCAGUGGGAGCCUCUUUUAUGGGGUGACUGCGUACCUUUUGUAUAAUGGGUCAGCGACUUAUAUUCUGUAGCAAGGUUAACCGUAUAGGGGAGCCGAAGGGAAACCGAGUCUUAACUGGGCGUUAAGUUGCAGGGUAUAGACCCGAAACCCGGUGAUCUAGCCAUGGGCAGGUUGAAGGUUGGGUAACACUAACUGGAGGACCGAACCGACUAAUGUUGAAAAAUUAGCGGAUGACCUGUGGCUGGGGGUGAAAGGCCAAUCAAACCGGGAGAUAGCUGGUUCUCCCCGAAAGCUAUUUAGGUAGCGCCUCGUGAACUCAUCUUCGGGGGUAGAGCACUGUUUCGGCUAGGGGGCCAUCCCGGCUUACCAACCCGAUGCAAACUACGAAUACCGAAGAAUGUUAUCACGGGAGACACACGGCGGGUGCUAACGUCCGUCGUGAAGAGGGAAACAACCCAGACCGCCAGCUAAGGUCCCAAAGUCAUGGUUAAGUGGGAAACGAUGUGGGAAGGCACAGACAGCCAGGAUGUUGGCUUAGAAGCAGCCAUCAUUUAAAGAAAGCGUAAUAGCUCACUGGUCGAGUCGGCCUGCGCGGAAGAUGUAACGGGGCUAAACCAUGCACCGAAGCUGCGGCAGCGACACUAUGUGUUGUUGGGUAGGGGAGCGUUCUGUAAGCCGUUGAAGGUGUGCUGUGAGGCAUGCUGGAGGUAUCAGAAGUGCGAAUGCUGACAUAAGUAACGAUAAAGCGGGUGAAAAGCCCGCUCGCCGGAAGACCAAGGGUUCCUGUCCAACGUUAAUCGGGGCAGGGUGAGUCGACCCCUAAGGCGAGGCCGAAAGGCGUAGUCGAUGGGAAACAGGUUAAUAUUCCUGUACUUGGUGUUACUGCGAAGGGGGGACGGAGAAGGCUAUGUCAGCCGGGCGACGGUUGUCCCGGUUUAAGCAUGUAGGCGGAGGUUCCAGGUAAAUCCGGUACCUUAUUAACGCUGAGGUGUGAUGACGAGGCACUACGGUGCUGAAGUGAUAAAUGCCCUGCUUCCAGGAAAAGCCUCUAAGCAUCAGGUAACACGAAAUCGUACCCCAAACCGACACAGGUGGUCAGGUAGAGAAUACCAAGGCGCUUGAGAGAACUCGGGUGAAGGAACUAGGCAAAAUGGUGCCGUAACUUCGGGAGAAGGCACGCUGAUGUGUAGGUGAAGCCCCUGCGGGCGGAGCUGAAAUCAGUCGAAGAUACCAGCUGGCUGCAACUGUUUAUUAAAAACACAGCACUGUGCAAACACGAAAGUGGACGUAUACGGUGUGACGCCUGCCCGGUGCCGGAAGGUUAAUUGAUGGGGUUAGCUGUAAGGCGAAGCUCUUGAUCGAAGCCCCGGUAAACGGCGGCCGUAACUAUAACGGUCCUAAGGUAGCGAAAUUCCUUGUCGGGUAAGUUCCGACCUGCACGAAUGGCGUAAUGAUGGCCAGGCUGUCUCCACCCGAGACUCAGUGAAAUUGAACUCGCUGUGAAGAUGCAGUGUACCCGCGGCAAGACGGAAAGACCCCGUGAACCUUUACUAUAGCUUGACACUGAACACUGGUCCUUGAUGUGUAGGAUAGGUGGGAGGCUUUGAAGCGUGGACGCCAGUCUGCGUGGAGCCAACCUUGAAAUACCACCCUUUAAUGGCUGGUGUUCUAACGUAGACCCGUAAUCCGGGUUGCGGACAGUGUCUGGUGGGUAGUUUGACUGGGGCGGUCUCCUCCCAAAGAGUAACGGAGGAGCACGAAGGUUGGCUAAUCCUGGUCGGACAUCAGGAGGUUAGUGCAAUGGCAUAAGCCAGCUUGACUGCGAGCGUGACGGCGCGAGCAGGUGCGAAAGCAGGUCAUAGUGAUCCGGUGGUUCUGAAUGGAAGGGCCAUCGCUCAACGGAUAAAAGGUACUCCGGGGAUAACAGGCUGAUACCGCCCAAGAGUUCAUAUCGACGGCGGUGUUUGGCACCUCGAUGUCGGCUCAUCACAUCCUGGGGCUGAAGUAGGUCCCAAGGGUAUGGCUGUUCGCCAUUUAAAGUGGUACGCGAGCUGGGUUUAGAACGUCGUGAGACAGUUCGGUCCCUAUCUGCCGUGGGCGCUGGAGAAUUGAGGGGGGCUGCUCCUAGUACGAGAGGACCGGAGUGGACGCAUCACUGGUGUUCGGGUUGUCAUGCCAAUGGCACUGCCCGGUAGCUAAAUGCGGAAGAGAUAAGUGCUGAAAGCAUCUAAGCACGAAACUUGCCCCGAGAUGAGUUCUCCCUGAGACUUUAAGUCUCCUGAAGGAACGUUGAAGACGACGACGUUGAUAGGUCGGGUGUGUAAGCGCAGCGAUGCGUUGAGCUAACCGAUACUAAUGAACCGUGAGGCUUAACCUUACAACGCCGAAGGUGUUU
rnacentral:rRNA from 1 species